rnacentral:pre_miRNA from 1 species
UCUGGAGGUGAGGUAGACCUGGAAGCCUUUCUGCAGGCCUCUGUUUGAUAUGUUUGAUAUAUUAGGUUGUUAUUCUGUCCAACUAUAUAUCAAACAUAUUCCUACAGUGUCCUGCUCUGUCUCCAG